rnacentral:lncRNA from 10 species
ACUGGGCCUUAAAAACUUGUGUUUCUUCCGAAUUAAUUAAUGAAGUAGAAUUGCUCUUAUAGGGUUUCAUAUACCAUUACCUCCAAAAGAGUACAUUAGAAGUAUUAGAAAAUACUGAUAUUUAUAAACAGAUAUUUAUCUUAUGAUACAAAGAGCUAGAGCUGUUUUAUUUUCUGUAAAACUAAGAAUAACUUCUUGAUAACAUAGCUUCACAAAAAGAAAACCCAACACAUUUGCAUAAAUAAUUCUCUGAAAUAACUAUGUGUUUGUAACUUUUUAUAUACAUGAGGAUAUACAUAUACUUAUACAUCUAUACAUAUAUAUGUAACAUAAAGGAUAUUAACAUUAGGACUGUUUAAUGUCUAUUUGUCUUGGAAAGAAAAAUAUACUUAAAAAUAUUUCUCAAUUGGGAUUUGUAAUCGUACCGACUUAAUUGAUAAACUUGGCGACUGCUUUUAUGCUCUGUCUCCUUCCAUAAAUUUUUUAAAAUACUAAUUCAACAAAGAAAAAGCUCUAAUGUUCAUUGGAAAUAAUUUAUAGACUUUUUUAGAGCAGAGAAAAAUUAAGAAAAACUUUGAAAUGGUCUCAAAAAAUUACUAUUUUCAGUGGAAAACUAAAUGUUAGUUUAACUGAUUGUAUGGGGUUUCUGAACCUUUCACUUUUUGUUUGUUUUACCUAUUUCACAACUGUGUAAAUUGCAAAUAAUUCCUGUCCAUGAAAAUACAAAUUAUCCAGUGUAGAUAUAUUUGACUGUCACCCUAUAGAUAUUGGCUAAUUUUGCCUUUAUUAAGCAAAUUCAUUUCAGCAUGAAUGUCUGCCUGUAUAUUCUCUGCUCUUUGUAUUCUCCUUUGAACCAGUCAGAACAUCCUGUGGUACUCUUAUUUAUUAAUCAGUUAAAUAAAAUCAUGAACAUAUAUUCAUUUUACAUUUGUAUGAGAACCAUUAAUUUUCUUUUCUUUAAAAAAAUUAAUUAUCCUUUGACAUUGGGUUGACAUUUUCUUAAGACUUGCCAUAAACAGAGGAUAUCAAGUUUCUCAAGGUCAGUUCUAGAGGAAAAAAAAAUUCUUUAUAAAAAUUUAGCCUCAUGUGUAACAGUUUCCAUUCCCAUAGCAAUGACAUUUGAUAUACAUUGUAUAUAUUAAUCUGGGAAUGAUGUAAGAUUCCAAGUA